rnacentral:tRNA from 1 species
GCUCAACAAGAUAGCUCAGUUGGUAGAGCAUGGGACGCUUAAUCUCAGGGUUGUGGGUCCGAGCCCCACGUUAGGCA